GUAGCAGCCAAUAAGGAAGGUAAUUUUCUCCUGAAGCAAAAGAUCUUGAGGCCUUUCUAUAAGUACACACUCAGGAAACAGACUCCAGCAUCAUCACCAGCAUUAACUAAAACAGGAUGCUUCUCAGUAAUGGCUUGUUCUGGAAGGAUUUUUAAGAAAGGGGCCAGACCAAGGUAGACCUACAUUUGAAAAAGCAUUCCUAAUGGCUCUGUGGAUGAUGGAUUACCUGGUGACAAGCCUGCAAGCAGGGAGGCAAAGAAGAAGGUUCUGAGAACAACCAGCCUGCUCUGUAGGUCUGUUAAAUUCUAUCUGUAGGGACUUCCCUGGUGGUGCAAUGGUUAAGAAUCUGCUCACCAAUGCAGGGGACACGGGUUCGAUCCAUGGUCCAGGAAGAUCCCACAUACUGCGGAGCAACUAAGCCCGUGCCCCACAACUACUGAGCCUGUGCUCUAGAGCCCACGAGCCACAACUACUGAAGCCUGCAGCUAGAGUCGUGCUCCGCAACAAGAGAAGCCCACACACAGCAAU